rnacentral:rRNA from 1 species
GGAGAGGCAAGCGUUGUCCGGAAUCAUUGGGGCGUAAAGAGCGCGUAGGCUGUUUUUCAAGUCAUAUGUGAAAACCUCAGGGCUCAACUUGAGGGACUGCAUAUGAAACUGAAUAACUUGAGUGCAGUAGGGGAAAGUGGAAUUCCUGGUGUAGCGGUGAAAUGCGCAGAUAUCAGGAAGAACACCCGGUAGCGAAGGCGGCUUUCUGGGCUGCUACUGACGCUGAGGCGCGAAAGCUAGGGGAGCAAACAGGAUUAGAUACCCUGGUAGUCCUAGCUGUAAACGAUGGACACUAGGUGUGGGAAGUUAUCGACGCUUUCCGUGCCGGAGCUAACGCAUUAAGUGUCCCGCCUGGGGAGUACGGCCGCAAGGCUA